rnacentral:hammerhead_ribozyme from 13 species
UGAUCGUCGGUGAGGAAAACUGCUGACGAGUCCCAAAAUAGGACGAAACGGUCG